rnacentral:misc_RNA from 1 species
GAGACUGGGCUAUCUACUGAUCCGAGGUCACCUUAGAAAAUAAAGUUGGGUGUCGGCUGGCGCCGGCCGGGCCUACAGAGCAGGUGACAAAGCCCCAUACGCUCGAGGACCGGACGCGGUGCCGCCGCUGCCUUUCGGGCCCGUCCCCCGGGAGAGGGGGACGGGGGCCCAACACACAAGCCGUGCUUGAGGGCAGCAAUGACGCUCGGACAGGCAUGCCCCCCGGAAUACCAGGGGGCGCAAUGUGCGUUCAAAGACUCGAUGAUUCACUGAAUUCUGCAAUUCACAUUACUUAUCGCAUUUCGCUGCGUUCUUCAUCGAUGCCGGAACCAAGAGAUCCGUUGUUGAAAGUUUUAACUGAUUACGAUAAUCAACUCAGACUGCAUACUUUCAGAACAGCGUUCAUGUUGGGGUCUUCGGCGGGCGCGGGCCCGGGGGCGCAAGGCCUCCCCGGCGGCCGUCGAAACGGCGGGCCCGCCGAAGCAACAAGGUACGAUAGACACGGGUGGGGAGGUUGGACCCAGAGGGCCCUCACUCGGUAAUGAUCCUUCCGCAGGUCAACCCUACCAAAAAUAUUUUUUUUUUU